rnacentral:rRNA from 1 species
CGUGNCCAGCAGCCGCGGUAAUACGUAGGGUCCGAGCGUNNUCNNNANNUACUGGGCGUAAAGAGNUCGUAGGUGGUUUGUCGCGUUGUUCGUGAAAACUCACAGCUUAACUGUGGGCGUGCGGGCGAUACGGGCAGACUGGAGUACUGCAGGGGAGACUGGAAUUCNUGGUGUAGCGGUGGAAUGCGCAGAUAUCAGGAGGAACACCGGUGGCGAAGGCGGGUCUCUGGGCAGUAACUGACGCUGAGGAGCGAAAGCGUGGGGAGCGAACAGGAUUAGAUACCCUGGUAGUCCACGCCGUAAACGGUGGGUACUAGGUGUGGGUUUCCUUCCUUGGGAUCCGUGCCGUAGCUAACGCAUUAAGUACCCCGCCUGGGGAGUACGGCCGCAAGGCUAAAACUCAAAGGAAUUGACGGGGGCCCGCACAAGCGGCGGAGCAUGUGGAUUAAUUCGAUGCAACGCGAAGAACCUUACCUGGGUUUGACAUGCACAGGACGCCNGUAGAGAUAUCNGUUCCCUUGUGGCCUGUGUGCAGGUGGUGCAUGGCUGUNNUCAGCUCGUGUCGUGAGAUGUUGGGUUAAGUCCCGCAACGAGCGCAACCCUUGUCCUAUGUUGCCAGCGGGUUAUGCCGGGGACUCGUAGGAGACUGCCGGGGUCAACUCGGAGGAAGGUGGGGAUGACGUCAAGUCAUCAUGCCCCUUAUGUCCAGGGCUUCACACAUGCUACAAUGGCCGGUACAAAGGGCUGCGAUGCCGUGAGGUGGAGCGAAUCCUUGUAAAGCCGGUCUCAGUUCGGAUCGGGGUCUGCAACUCGACCCCGUGAAGUCGGAGUCGCUAGUAAUCGCAGAUCAGCAACGCUGCGGUGAAUACGUUCCCGGGCCUUGUACACACCGCCCGUCACGUCAUGAAAGUCGGUAACACCCGAAGCCGGUGGCCUAACCCCUUG